CAAAAGGGGUGUGCCCAGUUGGUGGCUCAUGGCUCGUUAAAGAGACAUAAUUACUGCCCACAGGUGAGGAGGGUGUGGAGGAAUUCAAGGUGGUAAGUGAUGGCUGACUGAAAGUAAAGCUUCAGAAUGAGGAGCUGUGAGACGAGAGGGAACACACUCUCACAGACGUACCUUGGAUGUGUCCUCUUCUCGAUGCUUGGCCUUUACUAUGGCGUUCCAGCCCACUGUGAGGAUCCACGGAGGAUGGCGCAGGACCUGGGAACUCUGAGAUUCACAUUUCUCCUGUGGGACAUGGAGUUAGUAGAUAUAACAGUGUCUCCUGGCCUCCCAUCUACUCAGUAAGGUAACAAGUGGUUUCCUGUCACAUUGGUAAGGCUACAAUGAGGUAAGUUUAUUUAAAAACAUGUAUUUCCCUGAGACGAAACAAAAUGGAGACCAAGUUUGAUUUUUAAAAUACCCUUGACUAGCCAGUAGGACUGGUUAAUUCCUAGGAGUAUUCUAAACAAAUGUGCAGAUGUAAUUAUAAGCCAUUGGGUCAACUAAAUGGACUUAAAUUAGGGCUGAACUCUCGUUGGUCCAAGAUGAGAUACUAUGUUUUUGCCCCUUCAUUAGUUUUUAUCCCCUUUACCAUUGUGUUUUAUUACUCCAUAUGAUUGGAAAAUGUCACCAUUUUACUUUAUAAAACUCUCAAGACUUAGUUCAUCAAUGGUUGAACUGUGGAACAGUGUGAUUCUCAUUUGAAAAGUUAGUCUAAACUCUUCUGAGACAGUCAUUUCAUAUUUUAAAACAAACUUCUCUGUGAACUUUUGUCAUAAAUCCUUAGAACUAAUGCACAGUAAGAGGGGGAAAUGUACCUGAGAAUGAAUUUUAUUAGCUGUUCUGGUGGAGAAAACAAAUAUACCAACCGGAACUCAAAAGAAACCUGUUAAUUUACAAUUUUCACCUUCUCCUCCAUUUCUGCCAGCUUCCAUGUUUUUCCUUUGAAUUCCCCUGGGUCAGACAGCACUCUUAAACCCCACUAUUAUAAAAAUGAGAAGCCUUUCCAAAACCACAAGGGUAAAGUCUCAAACUUCUCUUGAAAAUAUUGUUCCUGAAGCCAGCCUUCAUGCUCCAGGCAGUAUGAAAGCCACAGAAUCACAGCAGGCAAGAUUCAAGUGCAGGGAGUGUGAUGUGUGAUACCCCUCGGUCCAUGGAAAAAUACCACAUCACACUGUGGAAACAACUUACCCAGCGGACACUCCACGUGGCGUGCUCUUUCCGGUUUCCACUGAAGAGGCCAAGAAAGAUUACUCUCCCGUCUUCUGUUCCACCCCAGAAUAGGCCUGUCUCCAGGCCUAUUCGACACAGGAAAAUGUAAACAUAGCGAGUCCCUCCCAAGCAUUAGCAAGUAUAGGAAUUACCUAGGAAUUUUGUUAAGAAGCAAAAUAUGAAUAACCAAUUUGAGGCCAGUCCCAAAACGUUGCAUUUGCAGGUGACAGUGAAUCCUGAAGUCUGGGAAAUCACAGCUUGAGCAGGGAAGUAUUAAGACUCCUGGUAAACAUGUUCCUUUGUGUGUUAAUACAGCAACAUGGAGGAUAAAACUGCUUCACAGCCUCCGUUCCAGCUUUUGAGUUUGUAAGAAUGUUGAAGGAUUUGAGGACUGUGUCAGUGUGUGAGACAUGUUGAAAGCAACUUUCAGAGAACAGAAGGUAUCUAGGCCUUUGCUAGUGCCACCAUGUCACCGAAGUCACACUCAUGGGAACUCCCAUUUGUAGACUUCUUGUUUUGUUUUUUAAUGGAACCACUUUAUUCCAAUUCUUGCUUUGGUUAAAUAUUAUUAUGGUUUACAUUAUCAAUUGUCAUAUUACCAACAAUUCUUAUACAUUGUAAGAACUAGGUAGAUCAGAACAAAACUAAAUUUGUAAUCAGUGGGCCAGACAGCAAGUGUUAUACGCUUACUAGGCCUGAGGAACAGCAUUUCUGUGUUUGCAGGCCUUACGGGAUCACAAAAUAUUCAUUCAUAUGUUCCUAGAAAAAAUUUCUUAAGAACAUGGCAAUCUGUUCUUUUAAGCAUUAGCACAAAGCUAUAGGAAAGAAGAGUAGAGGGGAAGGAAAGAUUUCAAAGAGUUUCUUCUGUUUCCUUAUUCUCAUCAAAUCAUUGGAGGAUAUGAGAGAACAAGAGAUUUCCCAUGGAUGAAUGUGUACAGCUAGUCAGUGAAAUUUCUUGAUACACUAAGGUAUCUUUUGAUAUUUGAUUUUAAAGGCAUGGUUACAGAAUUGCAAAUUCUGCGAUACAGCAUCUUAGCUACUAUGAUCCGAUGAGAAGGAGUCUUCUGACUGUGGGGGUUUAUUCGGCACACUGGUGAUCAAGACAAAGUAAAGACUCUUGAGCAUAGGCCCAUUUCUGUCAAUCACUCUAACCUAGCCCCCAUGACAUCAUAUUUGAACUCAGUGGGGGUGGGAGGAAAACCAAGAACAUAAAAAGAAUUAAGACAAAAUGAAGGAAGUCUGUGAAACUACACAGCACUUUCAUAUUUGUGAUUCUUCCAUGGUGACCAUUGUCAUUGGUAUAUGGCAUUGCUCUUUCAUUGUCUCAGGAAUAGCGUGAAUGAUAGCAUGGACGACCAAAAGAGCUAUAUUACUGAAAUAGCAUCUGCUUUGUUCAUUAUCAUGGCAAAAGUGAUUCACAGAACAAAAAGAUUUGGCUGCAAAAGACAGUUCGAGUUUCCUGGGAAAUCUCGGGACUACUUUGGCAGAAGUUGAAGGUUUCUGGUUUGUCUACAAAGCUGACGGAGUGUAUCCAGAGGAAUGCUUAUUUGUGAUUGUCCGUUUUCCUCUGGCUGUGACUCCUAGAAGACUUUAUUUUGAUUUAGUCAGUAGUCCAGAUGGCCUGUAUUUCCCAGUGGAUACGGAAUGGGCAUGGGUCAAACCAAGUCCAUCACAUUGUAUUCUCUGGUACCUAGUGCUUCACACUUUCCUUCUUUUCUUGUCCAAAACAAGCCACAGACGAAGGAAGGAGUGGAAAGAGGGUAAGCAUGACAUGAGCAGUAGAAGGAGAAGCAGGAUAUUUCUCAAGAGACAAGCAGCAGCUACAGAACGAAUUAAACAGCUGUGAAUGUCACAGGGUGAGCCUGCAACUUCUGGUUAACAUGAUUUCUAGAUUCAAAUAGAAGUUAAGCUUUCCAUCUCAUUUGGUGCUGGCAGCUACAUUGACUACCGUCUACCCUGUCAAGAGAAGUUCUUCAUGACCUCCUCAGGUACAGAGUGCACCUGUUAAUGCAUGGCUAAUAGUUAAAGAACAUAAGGAAAAUUACAACAAUGUUAGUCACACAUUCGGCAAGACUACUUUCUCAAAGGUAUAUUCUUUUUUUCUCUAGAAUGACUACUUAUUGGCAUAAAAAUACCUGAACAUAAUAUUUUAAGCCACUCAUAGCUUUUGAAGGCUAUAUAUUUUACAAGAAUACAUUAAUUUUUAUCUGCUCUGAUUUCUUUUUGUAUGAUUUUAUGUUAACAUUUUUUCAGACAAUACUUCAAUUCCUAUUCUUUACCUUCCCCAACCCCAUCUAGAUCCAUCCCACAUUGCUACCCAUCUAACUUCAUGUUCUUUCUCUCUCAAAAACAAAACAAAAGUAAAAAUCAAAACAGACAAAUAAGACAAAAUACCACAAACAAACUCUAUCCUUUAACUUUCAUAAACAAUACCUCCGUUCUGCCCCAUCCUUCCAUCUCCCCUUUCUUUAUAAGCCCAGCAUCCCUGCCUUACAUAGUCCAAGUAGAAGCCUUAGUAGGGACCAUUUCCAUGUCAUCCAAACAACUCUAAUGAGAUCCAUUCUCUAAGGACCUGGCUUGUGAACAACUGUAAAAAAGAAUGUGUAGCAUUCAUCAAAGAGAAGUGUUCAUAUAUCAUCCUUCUCACCAGUAAAUUCUCAGAUCCCCAAGGUUUGUCUAUACCCUGAGCCAAAAGAGCAAGAAUGAGAACUUUAGACUUCAAACAAGAAUCCUGUGAGAUCUCUUAAAAAGCAUUCUGUGAGUUCUGUGAGAUCUCUCAAAAUGAUUGUAGAAGGUAGUUACAAACACAAAUAUCUUUUCUUCAAAUCUCUGGCUACUAAAAUAGCCUGUUUUAUUAUCUAAUGCUGGAAAUACGUCAUUGAACAAGUCGCUAGCAUCCUGCUGUGUAUUGCAGUGAGCUGAAUUUGUUGGAAAGGAAACUUGUAUAAUAAACUUAAUAAUCCAUCAGCCAACCAAGGACUACUGAUGAAUUAUGGUUAGUGGAGAAUGUUAAAGUACAGAAAAGGUCCAUAUUUCCUAAACAUGCUCUCCCCCACGCCCAGCACAGUCUUCCUUUAAAUUUUUGUGCAUGGAUAUGCUUCCCAGUCAUGUACUACUUUUCUUUUUGAACCAUCUUUUUCUGCCAUGCCCUGUGGUCUUGCUAAUUCCUCCCUCGUGGGGCAUUAAUUAGAUUUUUCUUCAGGGAUUUAGGAUUAAGAGGUUCCGUCUGCUUUGUAUUCUUUAAUUUCUCCAAAUAGUGCUUGCUUUUCAAGAAGUGAUUUCCAAGACAGAGACAGUAUUUCUUUUUGGUGCUAUAGUCUAAAGAUCUGUAUCCUCACCCAAUUCAGGUGUUGAAAUCUUAACCCAAGUAAUAGAAGAAUGGAGCACUAUGGAAAAGCAGAGUUCUCAUACAAUGUAGUCAGUGUCGUUAUGAAUAGACCUAGACUAGGGAGACAGGCCAGCAAUUAAGAACACUUCCUGUUCUUCUAAAGUACUUGAGUUUUGUUCCUCACACCCAUGUGCAGCAGCUCACAAUGUCGCUGUAACUCUAGUUCCAGGGGAUCUGACAUCCUUUCCUGGCCUCUCUGGGGACCUGAGCAUAUAGGCACAUACUAACAUGCAGAUAUAAGUACACAUAAGUAUGCAUAAUUUUUAAAAAAUAAA